rnacentral:rRNA from 1 species
UAACUGCGCGAAAGCGUUGCUAAUACCGCAUACGACCUACGGGUGAAAGCAGGGGACCGCAAGGCCUUGCGUCGAUGGAGCGGCCGAUGCCGGAUUAGCUAGUUGGUGAGGUAAAGGCUCACCAAGGCGACGAUCCCGUAGCUGGUCUGAGAGGACGACCAGCCACACUGGGACUGAGACACGGCCCAGACUCCUACGGGAGGCAGCAGUGGGGAAUCUUGGACAAUGGGCGAAAGCCUGAUCCAGCAAUGCCGCGUGUGGGAAGAAGGCCUUCGGGUUGUAAACCACUUUUGGCGGGAAAGAAAUGGUCUGUGCUAAUACCACGGAUUGAUGACGGUACCCGCAGAAUAAGCACCGGCUAACUACGUG